UGAGCAUGCUGAGGAAGGAAAGAUUACCGAGAUGUUGGCUGAGCGCUCCAUGGAGGGGCACAUCCACCAACCGUAGAGCCGUGACACGCGGCCGGUGGUGGCUGCACGAGACCCCGACCCAUCGACAGAAGGACACGUUGGAUGUCCAGCUGCCGGCGAGGAUUCCGAGAGGAUCAGAGAGCAGCGAUUUGAAAGCCAACAGGGCAGUGAGGUCGGUGUAGCUACCGUUAACAUUGGUUACACUUGGGCUUGGAGAUGAAGAAAGGACAGCAGGCAAUAGGAUUGGUAGCAAGAUGGCCAAAAACACUAGAGGGACCGGGUAGCUUGCAAUGGCCAUUGUUGUGUAUUUUUGGGCUGAUAGGUCAUAGGUGGCAAUGUUAUAUACUUAUAUGUAUUUUUGGGUCAUAGGUCAUAGGUCACAUGUCAAAGUCUUGACUCGUGUUUCCUUUAUUUAUUUGUCACACGGUAUAUUUCUAUGGUGGCAAAAAAAAACAGUGUCACUAUUAUCUUGACUCAUGAAGUCAGCAAAGAUCUUUUAUAUUACUAUAAAGUAAUAAACAUUUAGAGACAUUUUGCUAAAUGUGAAUCCACGAUCUCGCCAUCUAGCGAUCGACAUUUCAUGAAUAUUGCUGCCUUUUAUAUUUACACACAUAUACAAUUCACUGAACGGAACGGAGAGUGUGUGCUGUCUCAUUGGACGUUGCCAGCUUGUGCGAAGACUAGAAUAUUGGCGGUCGUUGCACGGCAAAUUCCUGUCAGGUCAUUACGGGUUAGACAAGACGUGAAGACGAUGAUGGGUUGAAUAUUCUCUAGUACCUUUGCAGCCAUAGUCUCGUAUAGGCUACCGUCGAAUGCUACUUCCUGGUCAAUAACUCUACAGACGUAAAGACUGAUGUGGAUUAGUGUUGGUUCAUUUAUAUGGUGGCCUGUUCGGCAGUUGCAUAAAUGUAAUUUUUUUUCGUUUUGAAAUUUUCUCUUCAGGGUAGGAUAUAUCGAUCUCUCAGUGCAAAAUUGAAGGAUAUAUAUGCCUGUCUCGUAGGUGACACAGGUUAUGAACCACGACUAACAGGGUAUUUCCAAAGGACAGAAGCAGAGGAGCCCAUCCUGAUCAAUGUACAAAUUAAAUUAGUGACCACACUCAUGGAAAAAAGAACGCAUUUAUUCUAUUAUGAAAAGUUAACGAAACACUGUAAUUAUAAGCUUGGAUAUGCGUUGUUAAACUGAAAACAAAGUAUUUUAUUAGCUAAAAAAAUCAAUAAACUGGAUUAUUACAAAGUAACAUGCACUAGCAGUAGAUGAUGUUCCCAUUUUUCAGAUAGUCUUUUGCAUUUGUCUCUGAAGCGGUCAAUUCUGAUUAAGUUGCCAUAUUUUCUUUGUGGCCCCUUUAUCCACCAAAUAACUGCUAGGAAGUUGAGAUCCACAUGGAGGAAAUUUAGUCAUUUACAAGAUGCAACAAGUAGUUCAUACUAUACCCGCUGCUGCUGGUAACUAUCCAGCCAACAGCUUCGUAUCCAUCGUUAAUUCAAUAGCCACCAUUCACCACGAAAACAUCAUUUCAACAGAUCAUGAUAUACACUAUGAUUUCGCAAAGAAACAAAUUUGCGCAGCUGUGAAAGAAACAUGGGGACAUUCAUACCCUGUGUUAUGUGCAUACUAAUGAAUACAGUUGAUCGUAAACAAAUUGCUGGAUGCUAACUGCACCAUCAUGGCUACACAAUUACAAAUUCGAAAGUUAUUUCAGUUAGUGAGGCGGAAAUCACAAACUAUUUUUCAUUCGUUGGAUGCUAACUGCACCAUCAUGCAGAGUUUGGAGAGCAGAGUGGAAAGACAUAAUUAGUUUCUAAUAUAACAUGAAUGGAUCAGUUCGCAACGGAUCAAGUAUUUGUCCCAAUAAUAAAUCGGCAUUGCUUCUAGGUAAAAUAUCGAACACAUGGUGUCCUGUGCUGGCACAACAAUAGAGCUAUCUGAGGAACAGAUGCCUUUGUCAGUAGCAGAUCGAAUGAGAGGAACCCAGCAGGCAGCCUGAGAAGAAGACAAGCAGAAAUUGCCCCGGGCUCUAACCGUCUAUGGUCGACCGCAAAAUCCAUGUCGUGACCGCAAAAUCCACGGCAGUGGUCUUGUCCUCUGCUUUGUGAAUCUUCAAAUGCAUUAUUUGGAUUGCAGUAGCCACCCAUGAAGAUUAACCCGGGCUCGUUCAGUUGGAUUGCAGUAUUCAAAAAUCAUAUUAGGCACAGGCCAAAGGGACAAAAACAAGUAAUGAAAAAUAAUUGGAGAUGGAACAACGGACAGAACAGUUGAAUCACACGGUAGCACUCGUCGUGGUUGCUGAUAUUAUCGAUUCUGUAUAAUCCUUUUUUAUCUUCUUGAGUGCUACUGUGACAUCCCUCAUGACAUCCUCAGGCCAGGUGAGUCACUUGAGCAGAUCAACCCCAGCUCAAAUGUCGCCGUAAGAAAGUCAUUCAGAUUGCCGGCAAAGAAAGAAACACCUUGCAACAGCCGGUCAUCAAGAACAGAGGCAAGCUGAGCUGGAAAUGCUUGACGAACCCACCACCUAAUGCUCAAAUCUGCGACGAACAUGGGAUCUGUGGGUCUCUUUCCAGUGAAGACUUCAAGGAGCAUGAUUCCAUAACUGAAAACAUCGCUCUUGCGUGAUGCCUUCCCGUAAGAUCCAUACUCUGCUCAUGAGACCGGAAACAAAGAAUUCCAGCAAGACUGAAUCAGCACUGUUAGACAAAUAUAUACCAAACAAAAUUCAGAGUCACAGUACGGAGUAUGGACGUACCUGGUGCCAUGUACCCAAGUGUUCCAAGCAUGCUUGCAGUGAUCAUAGAGCAGUCAUCACCCAAUAGCAACUUUGCGAUUCCAAAGUCCGCUACAUGUGCUGUCAUGUCUUCAUCAAACAGCACGUUGCUAGGCUUCAAGUCACAGUGCAGGACUACCUCGUGAUGCUCAUGGUGCAGAUACUCCAUUGCCAUUGACACAUCUAGCAUGAUGUCCAGCCUCUUGAGGAACCCUAAGUGCUCUAUGCUGUCAGAUUGCAAGAGCAUCUCUAAGCUACCACGGGGCAUAUAUUGAAGCACCAAUGCCUUGAACUCCACAUUGGAGCAGACAUUCAAUAUCUUUAUCAAGUUCCUAUGCCGAGCCAUGCGAAGUGUGCUGCACUCAGCAUCAAAGCUUCUAAUGGCCUGCUCCUGCUGCAUGUCUAGAACUUUUACUGCCACCGUGAAACCGGUACUAAGUUGACCUUUAUAGACCUUUCCAAAGCUCCCAGUCCCCAACAGGUUGUCGUCACUAAAAUUACUGGUGGCAAGGACAAGCUCAUGGUAUGACAGGUGCCCAUGGUACAUAACAUUUCUAGGAUCAAUGACAGAAUCUUCAACCUCUCCCUUAUUUUUAAUUUUCUUUCUAAUGGUUUGGUAGAUGAAAAUAAUAGUACACCCAAAUGCUAUGGUUACAGAAGGGAGCAGGAAUCUUAGAAAGGGCGUCGUAUUUGAGUGAGGUUUUUCCAUACAUGGAGAGAAUCCUAAACGAGGUAUGCCACAAAGCCCAACAUUCCCAACCAAAGAUUGCAACGAGAUGUUAGAGAAAACACCGCCCUCUGGUACCUUGCCUUGUAGAUUAUUAAAGGAGAGAUUUAAAGUUUUCAAGAAGGUUAAAUUGGCUAGGAACAUGGGAAUGGUACCUGAGAAAUUAUUGGAGGAGAGGUCCAACAACUCGAGGCUCCUCAGCUCUUUAAAUGACAGGGGGAUUGAGUCCUCAAAUGAAUUGUGCGAUAGGAUUAGAUAGCUGAGCAUGCUUAGUUUCUCAAAUGAUUUGGGGAUGCUUCCAAGCAAAAAGUUGAAAGAAAGGUCAAUUGUAACCACUUGUUUCAUCCCACCAACGUCACUUGGUAGUUUACCAGAAAAGGAAUUGAUAGAAAGAUCUAGCAAUAUAAUUUUGUCAAGGCGGAACAAACUUGCCGGUAUAGUUGAAUUGAAUUGGUUGUCAGACAACGAGACGUAUUCUAGCAUGGUAAGAUUUCCAAUGCUAUCAGGUAUAGUGCCAUGAAAUCUAUUUCCAUAGAGAUAAAGCAAUUGUAAGUUUCUGAGCAUACCAAUUUGUGCCGGGAUAGUCCCUAGCAUGUCAUUAUGAGAGACAUCAAGCCAAACGAGAUUUUGCAUCCUCGUGAUAGAUUCUGGGAUCUCUCCUGUGAGCUGGUUGUUGGCAAGAUAAAUAAUCUCAAGACUGCUCAAGUUCGACAGUGAGGAUGGAAGCCCACCUGUUAGCUUGUUGUCACCAAGUCUAAACUCAAAUAAUUGUGCAGACAGAUUCCCCACAGUGUCAGGGAUUCGUCCGGUGAAAGAAUUAUAAUCUAGUACAAGGUGUUGGAGUCGCACAGAGCUGGAAAGAGAUGACAGGAAGUUAAGAUUCCCACUCAAAUUAUUAGAUUGCAGCUUAAGCAAGUUCAAAGUUGGUAUGUUCCCAAGUGUUUGUGGUACGGAUCCUGACAAUAUAUUAUAACACAAUGCUAGGAAAGUCAGUUUUGAUAAAUUUCCAAGAGAAGGUGGAAUUGGACCUGUUAGCAAAUUCACUCCGAGAUGCAAAUACGAGAGUUCUUGCAUGAGGCCUAAUUCUUUUUGAAUCUCUCCUGUCAGGUUGUUGAAAGGAAGGUAAAGUAUAUUGAGAUGGGUGAGAUUGCUAAGAACAGCUGGGACAGAGCCAUGUAAGGAAUUAGCACCCAAGUUUAGAUAGGUAAGCAUGGGCAGUGAGCCUAUUCCUUGGGGUAUUGGACCUGAUAGGCUAUUGUUUGAGAGGUUGAUGUGGUUGAGGGAAGGUGUGUUAUUGAACAGAUACAAUGGUAUGUUGCCACUCAACUCAUUCCCUGCUAGAGUAAACCACUGAAGGUUUCUCAUGCUUUGCAGUAACCGUGGUGGAAUCUGCCCCGAGAGGGUGUUGUUACUUAGGCGAAGAAACUCGAGGCUUUUGAGGUUUCCUAUGGUACUAGGAAUGGCGCCUGAGAGGCCAUUUCCACGAAGAUCGAGGAAUCUAAGUCGAUGUAGCCUUCCAAUUUCAGGAGGGAUGAGUCCAGCGACACCAAUUCUUGUGAGGUUGAGCAUGGUGAGGAAGGAAAGAUUACCGAGGUGUUGGCUGAGCGGUCCAUGGAGGGGCACGUCCACCAAACGUAGAGCCGUGACGCGCGGCCGGUGGUGGCUGCACGAGACCCCGACCCAUCGACAGAAGGAUACGUUGGAUGUCCAGCUACCGGCGAGGAUUCCGAGAGGAUCAGAGAGCAGCGAUUUGAAAGCCAACAGGGCAGCGAGGUCAGUGUAGCUGCCGUUAACAUUGGUGACGCUUGGGCUUGGAGAUGAAGAAACGACAGCAGGCAAUAGGAUUGGUACCAAGAUGGCCAAAAACACUAGAGGGACCGGGUAGCUUGCAAUGGCC
rnacentral:lncRNA from 1 species